UUGCGUGCAUAUUAUGACAUUCCAGCUCAACAAAAUCACUUGAUAGAUAUUUUUAUCGUAUAUAUAUUGCCACUUUGGAUAUUUGUGUGUUGAAUGCUCCUCAUUACAUUUUACAUACAGUGGACUACUUUGAAGUAAAUCAAAUCAUAUUUACUUUUGUUGAUGCUUUAUUUUCUUAGCCAGGAGAUUAAAAACGAACUUGUGUGUGCAGCGAACUAAGUUUCUCGUUUGCCACUAUAUUUUAGCAUGUGUAAUAGCUAAAGGAUGCACUAAAUUAAUCUGUGCAGCAUUCAUCGAUGUUAAAGAUUACCCAUUGGAUUUCACAACCAGUUGUCAAAAGGUUUGCUUCGAUUGCUGGGACAUUGCUGUGCUGGGCAAGAGGAGUUCGGUGGCAUUAGGGAUGUACACUACAACCGUUAGUGUUGAAGUUCACCCAUUGGAUUUCACCACCAGUUGUGGAAUGAUUUUCUUCAACUGCUGGGACAUUGCUGUGCUGGGCAAGAGGAGUUCAGUGGCCUUAGGGAUGUACACUAGUUGACUUACAAGAAUGUUCCUACUUGGUGCAGAGACUUGUGUAGGGUGUGUGAGAGCAUCCCCAUUGUUCUCGGUGGUAACAAGGUUGAUGUGAAAAAGACAUAGGGUAAAGCCAAACAAGUCAUUACACAAGACGGAGAACCUGCAGUGCUACGAAAUCUCUGCCAAGAGCAACUACAACUUUGAGAAGCCCUUCCUUUACCUUGCAAGGAAGUUUGCCAGCUAAUUUUCUUCACUCCUCAAUGGCUACAAUAACGUCCAGAGAUUUUGGAGAAUUUCAAGAUUUGGAGUUUUGGAGGUGCAUUAGGUCAUCUUCCUAAACCUGGUGCACCUUGCACAUGUACAGCAACGGCCACAUCCACUGAGGUAAAGCUGUUGCCGGCACCUCUCCUCUCCCAGGGAGAUUAUAUGUUUAUGCCUCCGUCCACAUUGGCGCAGUUUGUGAUUUGCUGCAUGAUAUAUGGGUGAGGUAUUGUUGCUGAAUGAGGAAAAUCAGCACCUGCACCUGCAGCUGAUGGAAUAACAAGAAGCUUAUCAUCUCCACAUGGGUGCCAAGGAGUCGGCUGAAGCUAGCGAUAUGAAUGAGGUUGCGUCAUGUGCGCUUCUUCAUUCCUAGUUAUAUGAUGAUAUGAAUUAGGGAGCUCGGCUUCUGAGUUCGUUCCGCCCUCCGGAGCAAGGAGGGGUAAUCUUCUAGUCCGGCAGGAGAUAUGCGCUGCUUCUAGGUUGUGUCUUGAUUGCAACUCACCUGGGAUAAGUAGGGCAAUAAGGCAUUGUCUCGCUCAAGCCAUGACAAUGACAUGGAAAAAUUCAUGGGAUCUGUAUGAGGGCAUAUGAAACUUACAGGUUCAUGCGUCACUCUCUUGUUGAUCCGCAUGAGCUCAGGAGGCUUGUGAUGCACAUUGUCAGGCGAGACAAUGGCAUAAAGGUUGAUAUUCCUUAGUCCCUGAUUUGGUAGAGAAGGUUAGAGUUAUGUUGGAUGGGAUUCAUGUAAACCAGUGUGAGUUAUUUCUUAGAUUGUUCCUCGGCGUGCUCAGCGGAAACCCAGGUGAUCAAAGCGAUCAAAAUCUCGUCUACUACUGCAGGGAUUUGAUUAGAUCGUAUGGUUGGCUGCCAGAGGGAUUUAGAGCAGUGAUGACCUGUAAGAGACAAAAGCGUAAACUCGAUGGGAAGAUCGAAUUGGUGAGCUGCAAUAUGCUGGAAGGCAGUCCUUUCUCGUGCUUUUCCUGACAGAUGCUCGAAAGUGUUCUAUGCCGUAAGGCAUUCUUCUCUGGAAAUUGAGGAUUUAGUACUCUGAACAGUAUGGAGGUUGAAUCUACAUAUUGGAAUGCAAGCUUGAGCAUAUGGUUCAUCUGCCUUGAAGGAAAAGCCGGCUGCCUGGAGAUGCUGCGCCAAGUGACAGAUGCUCGAAAGUGUUCUAUGCCGCAACUCAUUCUUCUCUGAAAAUUGAGGAUCUAGUAGUUUCAGUCCAGUCAAACCGUAUGGAGGUUGAAUCUACACACUUGGAAUGCAAGUUUGAGCCUCUGGUUCAUUUACCUUAAAGGCAGCGCCAUCCUCCUGGAGAUGCAGCUCCAACCUGAUGCUGACCACCACUAUAGGGGCCUCUGCAAUGCUGGUGAGGAUAACUCCAGCCUCGGCGCCAAGAGCAGCAAGUUCUGCCUCGUCCUCACCAACCAAGACGAUGAUGCGUAGACCUUGCUGUUAAGCCUACAAAGUUGUCUGAGGCCUCCCUUGAAGAUGACUACUUCCUUCAUCUUUUUCAUGGCACCCUCGGCGAGGCCAAGAUUUACUGCAAAGCAACCAUGUCCGUGAAGGUGGACGACCAAAAUCUGUCCACCUGGACUUUGUCGAUAAGUUCCCCAGAUCCAGUUUGCCAGGUCUUCGAGUAGUUCGUACUCUCGCGCACGUGCAAGUUCUCUAGUGUCUUCUUCUGUGGGUACAAGGUUUUCCAUCCUACCAACAGAGAUGAGAUGUAUUUGAAUCUAAAUAAGAAUUCUGAAGGCAGUGUCUGAGGUUUUUUUCCCCAAGGUGGCUCCACAUGAAUCUACACACCGUUGCUCAGGAACUCAUCAACAUGGGCAUCUAGAGAGAUUCACCAACAAGAGGCUGAAGCCAAUCUACGCCUAGCCCUGGGCAUUCCUGCUCCUUCAAGCAAAGCACAGGCAAAACAUCCGAAAAAUCAAAUCGGUUUGAAGAAUCUGAUAAGUGAAGGGCAGAGGGGCCAUUGUCUUGCUGGCCCUGUCGGCCUGUGUUGUCCGCAAAGCAAGUUUUGAGAUGCAAAAGGGGCACCUG